rnacentral:rRNA from 1 species
AGAGUUUGAUCAUGGCUCAGAUUGAACGCUGGCGGUAGGCUUAACACAUGCAAGUCGAGCGGAGAUGAGGAGCUUGCACCUUAUCUUAGCGGCGGACGGGUGAGUAAUGCUUAGGAAUCUGCCUAUUAGUGGGGGACAACAUUCCGAAAGGGAUGCUAAUACCGCAUACGUCCUACGGGAGAAAGCAGGGGAUCUUCGGACCUUGCGCUAAUAGAUGAGCCUAAGUCGGAUUAGCUAGUUGGUGGGGUAAAGGCCUACCAAGGCGACGAUCUGUAGCGGGUCUGAGAGGAUGAUCCGCCACACUGGGACUGAGACACGGCCCAGACUCCUACGGGAGGCAGCAGUGGGGAAAAUUGGACAAUGGGGGAAACCCUGAUCCAGCCAUGCCGCGUGUGUGAAGAAGGCCUUAUGGUUGUAAAGCACUUUAAGCGAGGAGGAGGCUACUGAGACUAAUACUCUUGGAUAGUGGACGUUACUCGCAGAAUAAGCACCGGCUAACUCUGUGCCAGCAGCCGCGGUAAUACAGAGGGUGCGAGCGUUAAUCGGAUUUACUGGGCGUAAAGCGUGCGUAGGCGGCUUUUUAAGUCGGAUGUGAAAUCCCCGAGCUUAACUUGGGAAUUGCAUUCGAUACUGGGAAGCUAGAGUAUGGGAGAGGAUGGUAGAAUUCCAGGUGUAGCGGUGAAAUGCGUAGAGAUCUGGAGGAAUACCGAUGGCGACAGGCAGCCAUCUGGCCUAAUACUGACGCUGAGGUACGAAAGCAUGGGGAGCAAA